AUUGAACGCUGGCGGCAGGCCUAACACAUGCAAGUCGAGCGAGCGGCGGACAGGGGAGUAAUGUCUGGGAAACUGCCUGAUGGAGGGGGAUAACUACUGGAAACGAUAGCUAAUACCGCAUACCAUCAGAUGUGCGCAGAUGGGUGUAGCUGGUAGGUGGGGUAAAGGCCCACCUCGGCGAGGAUCCCUAGCUGGUCUGAGAGGAUGACCAGCCACACUGGAACUGAGACACGGUCCAGACUCCUACGGGAGGCAGCAGUGGGGAAUAUUGCACAAUGGGCGAAAGCCUGAUGCAGCCAUGCCGCGUGUGUGAAGAAGGCCUUCGGGUUGUAAAGCACUUUCAGCGGGGAGGCGUUACCCGCAGAAGAAGCACCGGCUAACUCCGUGCCAGCAGCCGCGGUAAUAC
rnacentral:rRNA from 1 species